ACAGAACUAACGCAGCAGAGGCUGAGAGACUGAAAACAGAGUAGUUCUGCAACAAGCAGCUUACAAUGGUGUACCAAAUACAUCAGAUACGGUUGUUGCGGGGCGGCCUGAGGGAGGUGGUCAUUCUGGAAGUGGCCCUGCUCAUAUGACCUCUACAUGGAGCAGACCUCAGCUAACAAGCAGUCGCUGGCAGUCCUGCUGCAUGGGGAAGAAUGCACACAACGAUCUUUGGAAUGUUAGAAUCCUAUUGCAUUGUAAAUGUGAUUUGCG